UCCCAUAUAGUGUAGUGGUUUAGCAUACCAGAUUUUCAGGAUUCAUCAAACUCCAGUCUUCUGGCGACCCGGGUUCGAACCCCGGUAUGGGAA